GUCUAUGGCCAUGCUACCCUGAACACGCCUGAUCUCAUCUGUUCUUGGAAGCUAAGCAGGGUCAGGCUUGUUUACGACUUGGAUGGGAGACCAUCUGGGAAUACCAGGUGCUGUCAGCU
rnacentral:rRNA from 1 species